ACGCCUGUGUCUGUGCUACUCUGGGGCACACGCCCGUGGGCGUUUCUGGGUGCAUCUGCGUGUUUGUAUCUGUCUGAGCCGUGUCCCCGCCUGCUCCCCAUGUCUCUGGCUGGGAAAGGGGACUGGAUGAGGACGCUCCGUUCUGGAGGUGGGGGAGGCAUCGGGUGGCUUGGUAUCCCAGCCGGUCCUGGGGGCGUCAUCCUUGCUCAGACGUUCGCCAAGCACCAUGUGGCAUGUGUGCCAGCAGGCACAGGCUAAGGGCAUUCUGCCCGGCAUGAAAGAAGGCAGAGGAGGCAGGGAGCAAGAAAAGGGGAACUGAGCUCAGAGCUCUGGGGCCGCAGCCUUUCUUCCUAAGGACUUCGUCAUGGGAACAAAUGUGAAGAAAUGAUCCAAGACACAUGCCUUUGUAAAGACCCUCACAACCUGAUGACCAAACUUUCGAACACAAAUAUCCUGAGGGACACAGAAGGCCAGUCUCUUCCGGCUUGCAGUGAGCGAGUGAAGGCUCCCUGACCCUUACGACCAGGCGUUGUAGCCUGUGCCUCAGCCCACCCAUCCAUCUUCCUGGCUGCUGCCCUCACUGACUGCUCCUCUCCAGUCCAUUGAUCCUUCUCCACAUCUGUGCUGCUCCACAACUGGACCCUGAUGGUCUUAGUAUCUGGGCUGGGGACUUCUUCACCCUCAAAGGGUGCUUCUGGAGCCUGGGGCCAAUUCAGAAAACCUUCCUUUCCCUGGGCCCUCUGCCAGCCCCUCCAACCCUUCCUCCAACCAUCCACUGCAAGACAAUGGUGGGCUGGCCCGGCCUUUGUGAGAGGGGUCAGGCCAGUUAAUCUUGGGCUGGGUUAGGGAGGGGCAUUUGGGGGCCAGGAAAGGAGUGGGGGCUGCCGGUGGGGGACACAGCAGCCGGCUGCUGAGAGUUGAGGGCAUUGGAGGCAG